rnacentral:snoRNA from 1 species
GGGCGAGGGUGGGAGAAGCUAGGGGGGGGGAUGGGAAGGCGAGAGAAAGAGAGCGAGGAAAAAUGGGAAGGGCGAGAAAGAAAUAGCUAUUUCCUUCUCGCCCCUUCCAUUUUUCCUCGCUCUCUUUCUCUCGCCUUCGCAUCCCCCCUAGCUCCUCCCACCCUCGCCCU